rnacentral:rRNA from 1 species
CACGUAGGGGGCAAGCGUUGUCCGGAUUUAUUGGGCGUAAAGAGCUCGUAGGCGGUCCGGUAAGUCCGCUGUGAAAGUCGGGGGCUCAACCCUCGAAUGCCGGUGGAUACUGUCGGGCUAGAGUGCGGAAGAGGCGAGUGGAAUUCCUGGUGUAGCGGUGAAAUGCGCAGAUAUCAGGAGGAACACCUAUUGCGAAGGCAGCUCGCUGGGACGUAACUGACGCUGAGACGCGAAAGCCAGGGGAGCAAACGGG